UGGUCAUGAACCAAGGCUGUCAGGAUUCUGUGUUCCUGUUUAGCUGUGGACAUGACCAAAAAGCAAGCCAUCCCAGUGGGCUUCUCAAGCAACCAGCUUAGAAGAACCUGUUGGGAACAUUU
ensembl:snoRNA